GCGGGCAUGGCGGAAUUGGCAGACGCGCUAGCUUCAGGAGCUAGUGGGGGCAACCCCGUGGAGGUUCAAGUCCUCUUGCCCGCACCA
rnacentral:tRNA from 3 species